UAUUUUAUUAUCAUAUAGGGAUAAACAUAAUAAGUAGUCGUGCAAGUGCGCACGCGCGCCUUAGACAUUACAGUUUAAUAUAAAAUUUCGUGCAUAAGCUUCUACAUACAUUAGAAAGGUUUCUAUGGUGACAAUACCAAACAAAGCAAGAAUCGAGCGAGCUGACAAUGGAUAAGUAUUUUUCACCGGUCAUUAUUAGUCUUGAACAAGCAGUUAAACAAUCUGAGAUCUGUGUAAUUCAGUCAUAAAAAUUAAUAUAUAAAUUUUUGAAACAUGAAAAAAUUGUUAUUGACAAUUUUUCGAUAAAACGGAUUUAUAUAUGUGUGUGGUAAGCUAUUGUUGAAAGUGAGUUUGAGCUGUGACAUGCGACAACAUUAUCAGCGACGAAGUAAGAAGUAAUAAAGUAUGGAUAAUGUUACAUGUGACAAGACAGAGACUAAAACUGCACCCUUGGCUGCCAUGCUUAAAAUGCCAUCGUGGUUGUUGGAGAUGUCUGAGUAUGUAGUUAUUUCAUGUGUAUUUUUCAUCUUUUUAAGAAUAACUAUGACAUUGUUCUCUACCUUUCGUUCUCAUGUCUCGUAUACACUUUAUAUUAGCAAUAUAGAAAAAAUUACUAUAAGUAACGAUGCCAAAUCGCUGCAAAUGGAAACAUUUUUAAUUGAUGAUCAGAAUUAUUUUAAAAAUAUCACCAUCAAACGAGAAGAUGACGAUACAAUGAAUGAACCUAGCGCAAGUUUAAGCAGUCUUUAUUUUGAUGCUAAUAUCAAAUUACAAACGCCCACGAGCAAAUCACUGCCAAAUACACCAAAGAGUGAACAAGUUAAACAGAAAAAAAUACGCGCCUGUUCUGCCGUAGUAAAUACGAAACAUACAAAGGACGAUUUUUAUGGAUUGGAUGCGUACUUGGAGAGAAAACAGAUGGCAAAACACAGCAUGUAUUUGCCGUCCGAAAAUUAUAACAACGCAAAGGCUCACGAAGAAUCUUCCUUUGAAUAUCAAAUACUGAAUGUUCCGAAUCGUGCAGAUACACGGUUAUAUUUGUCGGAUGAUAAUUAUCCUAACAAUUCCAAUUUUAUCAAACAUAACGAAGGAAAGCUAAAAUUAUUAUCUGAUAAACUUUACAAAAAUUUUAUUAUUCCCGAACUACCAUCCGGAGACUCGUUGGUUAUUGAUAUUCUCUCUACCUGGGGUGACAAACAUUAUGUAGGCCUCAAUGGUAUAGAAAUCUUUUCAAAUACCGGAGAACCAGCCAGAAUAAAAGAGAUACGCGCAAAUACAACAAGCGUUAAUCAAUCGUACGAUCAAAACAAUGAUCGCAAUCCUUAUAUUAUAAAUAAUUUAAUUAAUGGCACUAAUCGAACGAGAGACGAUGCAAAUUUAUGGCUAACACCUUAUUCAAAUGGUGACCAUCAUUACGUUUACAUGAUAUUUGAAUUCACGAUUACUGUAGCAAUGAUCAGAAUAUGGAAUUAUAAUAAAUCUAGAAUACAUUCCUUUAGAGGAGCCAAAGAUAUUAUUAUUAAAUUGAAUGAUACUAUCAUCUUUUACGGAGAAAUUGCUAAAGCUUCAGGGGAUGAUGUGGGUAGUCUCGAUUCUUUUGGAGAUACUAUAUUAUUUACGACGGACGAAAACAUUCUGGAAUUGAUAUCAAAACAUGAUAAUACUUUCAUAGAAUUCAAUAAUGGAACGUCAGAUUACGAAGAGCAAGAAAUGAUUCGCCCUAUAACGGCCACAACGAUCAAUGAUAUUAUCUCAGCGAGAUGUAAAAUUAACGAGAAUCCUAUCGAGAAUUCUUCAAACUUGAAUAUCAAUAAGAAAAUUUACGAUAUCAAUCUUACCGCUCUAUCUUGCAGAGAGAUUCAGUUAAUUAUCAUUUCUAACUGGGGUUUACAACAUUUGAUUGGACUCACCGGUAUAGAAUUAAUCGGGGAUCAAGGUACAGCAGUCCCAUUAACAAGUACCAACUUGCAUUGUGACGCAACCGAUACGCAUUUAACGAAAUUGAUCAAUGGACACAAUGUUACUACUGAAAUGGAUUACAUGUGGCUAGCGAAUGUAACAUUAAACAAGAGGAUUACGAUAACCAUUGCUCUCGAUACGGAUGUGCAUCUAACAGGAAUGCGAAUUUGGAAUUACAAUGCAUCCUUGGAGUUGUCUUAUUGCGGAAGAUACAUUCUCUUUGCACAGGUAAAGCAGAUGCUUAUUAAAAUAGAUGGCAAACAAUUAUAUGACGAAAAUUCUGACGGGUUCCUGUUAAGACGCGCGCCGGGAUCUUGCCAUUAUGAUUUUGUUCAAGAAAUUUGUUUCGUUAAUCCACCUACUCGACAACAUUUUUCGGGCCUCAUCUCCGAUUCGGUUGAAUCGCUCGAAGAACAAGAGUCUUUUGAUUCCAACUAUGAAGCUCCGUCGAUGCCGCGCGGAUUCGUUUAUCAAAUAAUUAUUUUCUCUACGUGGGGCGACUCUUAUUAUGUUGGCCUCAAUGGAAUACAGAUGUAUGACAAUUAUGGAAACGAAAUCGAAUUAACUACAGACAAUAUAGCCGCAUUUCCAGAAAGCGUCAAUAUAAUAAAAGGGAUAGACAACGACAUUCGUACGCCGGAUAAACUCGUCGAUGGUAUAAAUGAUACUAGAGACGGACGGCAUGCCUGGCUGGCUCCUAUACUUCCUGGACAAACAAAUCGCGUGUAUUUAAUAUUUUACCAUCCCAUAAUAGUAUCAAUGAUAAAGAUCUGGAAUUAUGGGAAAACCCCACAAAGAAGAGUCAAAGAAUUUGCAAUACUAGUAGAUGACUUGCUAGUUUACAAUGGAAUGUUGGAUAAACACAACUUAUACGGAUUGGUAAUGUUUGUAAAGGAAAACAGCAAUGAAACUCUAAUGAAUCGCUCGGAGCAAAGUCUUCUUUUAAACCUAAGAAGAAAUACCUCGGCUAAGGUCCUUGGAUUUAUCUAUUCAUAAAAACAAAGUUGGAAAAAGUUGAGCUGUUUCUCCGAAAAAUCUUUCCAGAAAUAGACGAUCAAAGCACCAACAUUAUAAAAUUAUCAAGCAACUUAUUUCGCUGUACUACUUAACAAAAAGAGGUCCAGUACGUUUCCUCGCCCUCGGUGACGAUUGUUUCAAACACUCCAUAUCAUUAAAUAUCACUUGUGCUCCACCACCACUCGUUGGCAAUAUGUCGCCCUGUUUAAAAGAAAAAUCAAGUUGUAAAGAUCAACUUUUAUUUAAAAAAGUGUAAUAAAGAAAUCAUGAAAAUUGCGAAUAAUAAAAAUUCUUGUGAAUAC